rnacentral:rRNA from 1 species
GGUUUGAUCCUGGCUCAGAUUGAACGCUGGCGGGAUGCUUUACCCAUGCAAGUCGAACGGCAGCACGGACUUCGGUCUGGUGGCGAGUGGCGAACGGGUGAGUAAUGUAUCGGAACGUGCCUAGUAGCGGGGGAUAACUACGCGAAAGCGUAGCUAAUACCGCAUACGCCCUCGGGGGAAAGCGGGGACCUUCGGGCCUCGCACCAUUAGAGCGGGCCGAUAUCGGAUUAGCUAGUUGGUGGGGUAAACGGCUCACCAGCGCGACGAUCCGUAGCUGGUUUGAGAGGACGACCAGCCACACUGGGACCGGAGACACGGCCCAGACUCCUACGGGAGGCAGCAGUGGGGAAUUUGGACAAUGGGGGAAACUCCUGAUCCAGCCAUCCUGGCGUGCGAUGAAGGCCUCGGGUUGUAAAGCAUUUUUGGCAGGAAAGAAACGGCACGGGAUAAUACCCCGUGCAACUGACGGUACCUGCAGAAUAAGCACCGGCUAACUACGUGCCAGCAGCCGCGGUAAUACGUAGGGCAAGCGUUAAUCGAAAUUACUGGGCGCAGCGUGCGCAGGCGGUUCGAAAGAAAGAUGUGAAAUCCCAGGAGCUUAACUUUGGAACUGCAUUUUUAACUACCGAGCUAGAGUGUGUCAGGAGGGAGGAAUUCCUGCGUGUAGCAGUGAAAUGCGUAGAUAUGCGGAGGAACACCGGAUGGCGAAGGUGUGCUCCCUGGGAUAAACACUGGACGCUUUUCCGCGUACUGAAAGCGUGGGGAGCAAACAGGAUUAGAUACCCUGGUAGUCCACGCCCCCAACGAUGUCAACUAGCCGUUGGGGCUCUUCGGGCCUUGGUAGCGCAGCUAACGCAAGUUGACCGCCUGGGGAGUACGGUCGCAAGAUUAAAACUCAAAGGAAUUGACGGGGAUCCGCACAAGCGGUGGAUGAUGUGGAUUAAUCUGAGAACGUGAAAAACCUUACCUACUCACAUAUCUAAACCCGAAGAGAUUGGGGGCGUCUGCAAGAGAACGAAUACGCAGCAAAUGCAUGGCUGUCGACCGUCAGGCGAGAUGCUCAUAUCUGGCAACGAGCAUGCAAACCCGUCAGUUAAUGCUGCUGAAAGGCACCUCCAAUGAACAGCGGUGACAAACCGGAGGAAGGUGGGGAUGACGUCAAGUCCUCAUGGCCCUUAGCGGUAGGGCUUCACACGUCAUACAAUGGUCGGGACAGAGGGUCGCCAACCCGCGAGGGGGAGCCAACCCAGAAACCCGAUCAGUCCGGAUCGCAGUCUGCAACUCGACUGCGUGAAGCUGGAAUCAAGUAGUAAUCGCGGAUCAGCAUGUCGCGGUGAAUACGUUCCCGGGUCUUGUACACACCGCCCGUCACACCAUGGGAGUGGGUUUACCAGAAGUAGUUAGCCUAACCGUAAGGAGGGCGAUUACCACGGUAGGAUUCAUGACUGGGGUGAAGUCGUAACAAGGUAG